GGCUGUAGCUCAGUGGUAAAACAUCUGCUUUGCAAACAGAAUGCCCCGGGUUCAAUCUGUGGCAUCGCCA